rnacentral:rRNA from 1 species
CUAUACAUGACUCUGCGCAUAUCAAUAAGCGGAGGAAAAGAAACUAACAAGGAUUCCCCUAGUAACGGCGAGUGAAGCGGGAAGAGCUCAAAUUUGAAAUCUUAAAGGGUUUCCCUUUACGAAUUGUAGUUUAAAGAAGUGUUUUCUGUUGAGGUUUUGGUAAAAGUUCUUUGGAAUAGGACAUCAUAGAGGGUGAGAAUCCCGUAUUUGACCUUUACUUUCAACUUUGUGAUACACUUUCAAAGAGUCGGAUUGUUUGGGAAUGCAGUCCAAAAUGGGUGGUAAAUUUCAUCUAAAGCUAAAUAUUGGCGAGAGACCGAUAGCGAACAAGUACCGUGAGGGAAAGAUGAAAAGAACUUUGAAAAGAGAGUUAAACAGUACGUGAAAUUGUCAAAAGGGAAGCGUUUGACACCAGUGUUGCUUUUCUGAAAAUCAAUUAAAGAACUGUUUAUGCUAAGUUGUUUAGACUUUAUCAGCUAUCUGUUUAGUUUUGAGCUUUUCUUUAAUGCACUUUUCAGUUAACAAGUCAACAUCAAUUUCUUUUGCUGUAAAAAAGCUUGAGGAAGGUGGCCUGAGAUUCGUCUUAAGUGUUUAUAGCCUCUUGCCUAUGCAGUCGGAGAGAUUGAGGUCUGCAGCAUAGAUCCUUCGGGGCUAAAUGCAUUUGUGCUAAGUUAUAGCAUUUUAUAGACAACUUGUUGACUAUGAUUUGUCUUGUAGCUUACUCGCUUAUGUUAUUUUACCUACGCUUAGGAUGUUGACGAGACUGUCGAUCUCAUCUAUACAUGACUCUGUGCAUAUCAAUAAGCGGAGGAAAAGAGGGCUAUUACCUACGCUUAGGAUGUUGAUCUACAGAGCGAGAGU